CGUUAAGUUGGUUUGCCAACCGCCAUCAAAACAAAAAAAAAAAGAAGAAAGAAGAAGAAGUUUGCCAUUCAAUCACGAGUUACAGUCAGACUCAGUACUAGUUUCAACAGCCUACAGUUAGCAAAGUCAUCGACUACCAUCGUUUAACUUCGGUUUUUGGCAAUCAAGUGUGGGAGGGACCUCAAGACAACUGUGUGGCGAAUGCUUGAGAGUAUCUUCUCUAAUCGCCUUUCCAUUAACACAACCUGGACUGGUGCAGGGGAAAAAGCAUGUUUUAGAGACAUGUUCCUGAAGACCAUUGUUCAAAGAGCCAUCCGGAAGAACU